rnacentral:lncRNA from 1 species
UCCAUUAUUCUCUCAUUGUUGGGGUCGAAACCGACUAGAGAAGUAGAGAACAAAAUAGGGGAAAAAAAUGAACGAGAAAAAGGAAGGAAGGAGAAGAAGAAGAAGAAAUGGUUGUUGGCUUUUAAAGAUUGAGGUUUUAUUCCUUAAUUCUUCUUAUUUUCAAGAGGUAAUUGAAGUUUAUGUUACUUGAAAAUUUUGGGGUUUAUGGAAAAUUUACUUUAAUUCGAAGUUUAGCAAUAAUUAGUUGUUAUUGAUAUGUAUUUGAGGUUAUAAAUAGAAAUAUAGCAAAGAAAUGUUAUUUGAGUAUUGAAGUUGAGGAAAGAUGAAUUUUGAAAUGGGUUUGUAAGAUAGAAACAUAUUAUUUGAAUUUUUUUCUGAUUAUAUGAUGUUAAACACUUAAAUUUAGGAAUUAGGGUUGAUUUCUCCAUUUUUAAGUGAUAAUUAUAAGUAAUUUUUGGACAAAUCCUACGCAGGUGCUGUUUUUGUAAUUCUGCCCAGAAUAGUGCUAAUUCUAUCAAAGGUUUUACUGCCAGAUUUCAAUAAAGAAAUUGGUGCCUGAUUUCAUUAAUAUGGGAUUUUAGUGUUGUUUUUGUCAAAGCUCUUAUUUUCGGAUUUUUAAAGGUUUGAAUGGAGCUAUAUGACGUGUUGAAUUUUAUAUAUUGGAAUAAGUGAUGUCUAUGGGUUGUAUAUGUAUAAGGUAUUGAUUUUAAGGAAGUGCAAGUGAUUUAAUGGAUUUGAUAAUGCAUGGUGUUUAGUUGAUGAAUCAAUAAAGAGAAUAAAAGUUGGAGAAUUGGAGAUAUAAGAGUAAAUAUAAAAGUUGAGGAGUUAAGUGGUGGAAUUGUAUUAAUUUAAUUGUCAAGUUUUAAUUUGAGUAAUUAUAUCGUUAUUUCAGACAGUGACGUGAAAACUUGGAAUGGCUCGUGAAUUUAGCCAGAUUUCUAUCCAUGGAUUUGUGAGUGAAAAAAUAUAAUAUUUUUAAAGUAUUUAUGAAUUAAGUAUAUCGUCAAAGUAUGUGCAAUUAUGUGUUCGAAUUAUAUGGUUAUUAUGGAAAUAUCUUUUAUUAUAAUACAUGUGGGAUUUCAAAGAUUGUAUAAAGUACAUUGUGAAUUGGAAUAUGAGAUGUGAUUUUGAAAUCGGCCAGAAAAGUACCCAUGAUUAUAUAUUUUUUCUAGUUCAUUGAGGGGCAUUGGUCGUGUUCUAUACUACACUGAGGAGUUGACUGGGGAUGAAGGGGUCGUGAUCGUGUACAUAUAACUCACUGAGGGGCCUUAGCCGUGUUCUAAAAUUGAUUACCAGAGGUCAUGAUACUCGCUUACGUUCACGGAGGGGGCGAAAGGCCUGUGGCGAAAGUGCUUAGCUCGAGGGGUGGAUUACAGAUUUUAGUCAGAAGGUACAUUUUUUGUGGAUCACAUGUGAUGUGAUGAGAUGAGAUGAUAGUAUAGAUAUCAGCUGAUAACUAUACCGUGAUUAAGAGAUGAUAUUUACAGUGUUAUGAGAAUGUCUUACUUUUUGUCUAUAAUUGUAUGAGACUAUCAUGUGAAGAAUUUAAUGAUAUGAACUUGACGUUUGAUAAAAAUGUUUAAAGGAGAAAGUAUAAUUAUUUUUGAACUCUUCUACUCACUGAGCUAUCAGCUCAUAUUUUUCUAAAAUUAUUUUUACAGGUAGUAUUGGUCCUUGGUAGCUUGAGAAGUCUAGUGAUUUCAGAGUUAGAGCCACACGACAUGUUGAAGGAUGCGAGUCAGUUUGAUUAAACCACGAAGUAAAAUUUUGGGCACAUUGCACUAUGUUUGUAUAAACAUUUGAUUUUAUUGCAUAUCUUGUAGUAACUCAUAGUGAGCAUUGGUGAUGGAUUUGACAUUUGUUAGCAUCUAUUGUUGGCACACAACACGUUUUGGGUUCAUUAGGGUGAUUCGGGAUGGAUCGUGUUAGGUAGUAACUACUUAAUAAGGUACAUCAAAUCUAGGAUGGUGGUAACAAGGAGUGUUGAGAGUGAAUCGCAUUCGAAGGAGGAAGAUGCCGUCAAAAGAUUUACUUAUAAAAGAAGACAAUCUACUUCCCCACAAAAAUCUCAAUCAAAAAUGCAAAAGCCCCAGAUCAGGUCGCAAUUCUAGUUCGAAGGACGUAACUCACAAUGCCUCAUCAUUUUUUGUUUAGUCCUAUGCAAUUCAAUUUGUGAUUGUCAAUUAUUCUUGAUUUAAAAAUGGGAUUGUUUUUGAACUGUGACUUAGACAGUGCG